ensembl:piRNA 21ur-7058 ncRNA
UUCGUGUGUUUCAUCUUCUCU